UGGGCCCUUCCCAGUUACCAAUAGCUUGGGAAACAUCCUGUAUUUGGACCUUCCCACAAGUAUUAUAAUUACCAUUAACAUUCAAAAGGUUUACUCUUAUUACCAUUAUCUUCAAGAUUUUAAGGGUUGGACUAAAAAAGUGGGGACGUAUAUACCACUUUUUCACUUCUUUAUUUCACUUCACUUGGUAAACAGUGCAAUUUGAUCAUGCCUAAGCAAAAGGCUGUCUCCACUUUGAAGCAGAGAUACCGUUAUUUUAUGCUAUCCCAAAUUGCUAAUGAUUAUUCACUUUUCCUGGAGACUUUGAUGUCAACUACACCUGCUCCUGAUCCAAUAAUGUGGCCAUCUUAUCGUCUUGUGCGUAUCCCCCAAGUUGCCAAUGCUUUUACCCAGACGGACCUUUGUCUAGCCUCUCCUACCUCUCCCUUAGAUCGUGCUACUAUUCAUGAUGAUAGUGAUGGUGCAGCUUCUUGUGUCAGAGAGGGUGGCCAUAACUAUGGUCAUACUUCAACUGUUGGUGACGUUGACAGUAGCGUUGAUUGUUCUGGGGCGGGCAGGAGCAGAUGCAGCAAAUGCCCCUCCAGCUGCAAGGAGGGGCGAGCUUCACUGAAGAUAUGUUAUCCCCUUUUAUGGCAUUUAUAAUAAACUUCCUCAUUCAUGA